CGCAGCAUCGCACUCCUUCGUCCUCCUCCGUCCUUCCUCGUCAGCCAUCGCCGCCAUUCCGUCUCGCUCUUCUCUGUCCGGCGACCAUGCCACCAGGAGGAAGCAGCCGCGCAAGAGGUCAGGGGCCGCCGCCACCGCGAGCCAGUGGACGACCGUUGUGAGCCUUUGGGCAGGAAGCCGAUGGGGAGCAUACAACAAAGCCGCGGCUGCCGCCAGGGUCUUCUCGCUAGAGGUGGAGGAGCAGGGGAUCCCGCAAGAUCUGAGGCAUGAGGGCACGGCAGCGAGCGUCUCCGGUAGCGGGGGCGACCUGCAGGCAAAGGGCGACAGCUGGGGCACUCGAUUCAGUCCAGUGCCAUGAGCUUGUCCCUGCAGGAGAGUUAGAAGAUGUGGGAAAGAGAGAAGGAAGGAGAUGAGGGAGAAAGAGAGAGGAAAGAGGAGAGGGAGGUGCAGCAGCAGAUGGAGAGGAACACCAGCAAGCACAGGCCAUUCGCAUCUCUCCUCCUCUCCUACCUUGACCACCACCGUGCCCCUCCUCCCCCCUUCACUUCUCUCUAUAUCAUCUUCUUUAGAGCUAGCUGAUUGGUCAACACCGAGGAAGACGAGGAAGACAGAGCCAGAGGAAGAUGGCCCAGCCCUGCUGUCGACGCCCACCGGCCACUCCGUUCUUUUUUUUUUGUUCUUUUAGUUUUGGAUCAAAGUUCUCUUUUAUCUUGAGUGCCCCUUUUUGGCAUAAAAUGGAUUCAACAACCAAUUUUAGCUAAGAACAAACUAUCAGUAAGGAAGGGCAAACUAACACAGGUGGGCAAAAUAAAAAAAGAUUGAGGAAGAGGUGGGCAAAACAACUUGAGCAAAGAGCUAAAUCACUAUGAGAUGCUACUUUCCAGUGAUUAAUUCCGUCCUUUUAAUUUUUCAGUAGGGAACUCAAAAGUUUAAUGAAGAUAGAAAGUUGCAUUUUAUUCUUAUCCACAUGGUUACUAAAUUUACAUUUUUAUCUGGAAAGAGGUGGCCUUAAACAAUUUAAGUUACAUUUUAUUCUUAUCCACAUGGUUACUGAAUUUACUUUUUUAUUUGGAAAGAAGUAGCCUUAAAUAAUUUAGAUUUUUUUACCAGAAUCUCUCUUAAACUAACUUGCUACAAAUAUGAAAUGGCAUUCCAUUGUUACUUUAGUGGGAAGUUCCUAUACAUAUUCUCUGUUUCUCUGGAAUUGGUUGAAAGUGUUUCUUCUGCUAUCCACUCUCUCACUAGGCUUGUUACCUUUGUUGCUGAAUUUUGCAUUGCUACAGAUGGAAGGCAUUGCGCUAUUGAAGGAGUCCAUCAAGAACUGGAGACAAUGGCCUACGACAUGGGGAGGUAUGUCCUUCAUGAUUGUUGUUGGUUAAUUGAGAGUAUGUGAUGCUCGAACAAAUGAUGUGCAAGCAGAAUAAAUCUUUUAUCUACAUCUACAACUGAAUAUUUAAUGUUAAGAAAAGUAUAUCCCAUAUUUCCCCUUAGUGGCGGAGAGCAUAUUUGAGCAGCUGACUGGAGGCUGGGCAUUUGCUUCAGUUUGAUUUGUUUGCGUAUGUUCACUAUUUUCUAUUUUCCAUGUGUUGAGUGGCUACAUUUCUUAUCACUUUGCUGCUGUUGUGCUUGAUAUGAGCAAGAUUAGGGGCAUGAUAGUUGGGCACGGGGCAUAAACAAAUUGAUAGUAUCAGCGUCCAUGCCUAUAUGUCAAGUUAUAUGCCUUUGUAAUGUAAUCAUCCGUGUAUGUCAAUGGCAGUGGUUUAAAAUAUGUAAGCUAAUGCAUCUUGUGCUUGCUUGUCACUUUGUUUCUACUAGCUAAGCAAGGUCUGGAAUAGAUUAUAUAUAUUCAUUCAAACAUGACGUGGUCUUCUUCCUUUGCCUUCGUCAACAUAUUUAUUUGGGCGUUCCUUUUCUCUGUACUUUGUUUGGGCAGUGUUUUCCCCACGCAUGUCCUUUUUGAUUAUAAGUUCAUGUGCUAAUUUGGUCAUAAUAUAACCAUGUCCUAAAAGUGCUCUUGCACUACAGAAUUCUCUUAUUUACAUGUUUAGUCACAAUAUAGCUCUGUCCUAAAAUCCGAUUUGCUUUCAGUUUGAAUCUGUCACAACCCGGAUAGAUAUACUCUAUACCUUGAUAUAUAAGUAGGUAAUUGAAGAAUUGGACAUCUUGGUCAUUGCAGAUUUUCUCUGUUCAUUUAAAAAAGAGUGUGUUACAAAUUUACAAUUCUCCGGGACCAACGCUCCUGAGGUAUCUAUUCAUCCAUGUUGCUUUUUAGAAAACUUACGACCAUAGAGGCCGAAGUCGCCACCCAGCAAUGUCUCGCUGAUGGUAACCCAUACUGCUUUGCCGAUGAAUAAUAUCGUAACAACUAAUGUUUGAAUUUUUCAUACCGCUUCAGCUAACCUGUGAAUAGGUCUGCACUCUGCUGCCGUGGCUGGCCAAUAUGAUGAUAUGUUUAAUGAAGAUUUUGAAUAUUCUUUUAGCAUAUCUUUGACAGGUAAGGAUACUUUAGGUUGCAACUUAACUAUGUAUCUGUGCGUAUUAAUCUUACAACAUGCUAUUUCUUCUAUUUUUGGACUUAAAAUUACUGUGAAUUGUGGCUUAACUAUGAUACUUUAGGUUGCAUGCUCAACUAUGUGUAUGUGAAUUGUGGCUCAGCUAUGAGGAUUCUAGUGAAGGUUUCGAGUAUUUUAUUACUAUGUCUUUGAAAGGUUAGGAUACUUUAGGUCUCAGCCAUGCCUCUCCAUUUCCUGCCUUCCCCGCUAAGCCAGAGAGGUGGUAUAGUGGAGCAAGCAUCAGGUGACAAGGCUUAUUUCUUUAUUUGGAUCUAAAUAUCUGAGUCUGUUGUCAUAGACCUUAUGUUAAUAUCCAUUCCUAGUCGUACUCCUAUUAUUUUGUAUCACCAUUCUACAAAUGCUUCAGCUAAACUUUUCUUUGUUUGAGUUCUUAAUAGUUUUUUCAUUUUCCAAUAGAAUUUGCUCCAUAUAUCAGUAGGGGAGGCCCCUACUGUAUCCAUCUAUAUAUUUUCCUUUUUUUUUUUGAAGCAAUCUAUAUAUUUUCCUUUUGGAUGCACGCGAUGUGAAGUUUAUUCUGGUGUAUGAAAAUAAGUAGUGGGUCGUGUAGUCUUUGAAAUGAGCAAGACGUGAGAGAAAGAUUAUUUUACCAUGGCAACCAUCUUUAGUCCACAAUUGAGUUGAUGUUCUAUGAGAUUUAAGAAAUAAGUUGACAAUUGGCAUGGUUUGCAUUACAAGUGUGUGUGCCUCCUUUUAUUUGUUCUCUUGUUUUUCAAUUCCUUAUUUCUAUAAGGUUUUUGUAAUCAUGUUUUUGUUAGAAGGUUUAGAUGCCAUACUCUGCAUGGACUGUUACUAAAAGAAAUUUAUGUUGUUCUUAGGUGCUAAUCAGGUUAAUGAUGCCGCCGGAUAGUUGUCGUUUGCUAUAAAGUGAUUAGCAGGCGCCAAGCCCUCUGAUGCCCAGCUGUCCGCUGUUGUCUCUGCCUGAAUAAGGAUUAUGGUCCUCCACCUCUCUGCUACUCAUAUUAAAAUUCUGAUGUGUUCUUUCUUUCUUUAUUUUCUGUCAACAAAAAGGUGGAACCUGUUCUUAAUUUCUCAUAAUGAUUUCCAUGGCAAUUUGUCAGUGUAUUUCUAGCUGGAAUUGCAUGUAUAUCUUACAAAUUUACAUUGCAACAAAUUAAUAAGGAGAAUAGAAGCAUUUGCGUCCA